GGGUUGUGAGGUUAAGCGACCAAGCGUACACGGUGGAUGCCCUGGCAGUCAGAGGCGAUGAAGGACGUGCUAAUCUGCGAAAAGCGCCGGUAAGGUGAUAUGAACCGUUAUAACCGGCGAUGUCCGAAUGGGGAAACCCAGUGUGACUCGUCACACUAUCAUUAACUGAAUCCAUAGGUUAAUGAGGCGAACCGGGGGAACUGAAACAUCUAAGUACCCCGAGGAAAAGAAAUCAACCGAGAUUCCCCCAGUAGCGGCGAGCGAACGGGGAGGAGCCCAGAGCCUGAAUCAGCAUGUGUGUUAGUGGAAGCGUCUGGAAAGGCGCGCGAUACAGGGUGAGAGCCCCGUACACAAAAGCGCACGUGCUGUGAGCUCGAUGAGUAGGGCGGGACACGUGGUAUCCUGUCUGAAUAUGGGGGGACCAUCCUCCAAGGCUAAAUACUCCUGACUGACCGAUAGUGAACCAGUACCGUGAGGGAAAGGCGAAAAGAACCCCGGCGAGGGGAGUGAAACAGAACCUGAAACCGUGUACGUACAAGCAGUGGGAGCCCCACCACUAAGCCAGUGGUGAACUCCACAUACGCAUCCUUUGCUGAGGAUACGGUUAACGGAGCGAAAGCGACGUUCAGCCGCAAAAGAAGCAGAGGGGGCUUAGUGGUGGGGUGACUGCGUACCUUUUGUAUAAUGGGUCAGCGACUUAUAUUCUGUAGCAAGGUUAACCGCAUAGGGGAGCCGGAGGGAAACCGAGUCUUAAUUGGGCGUUAAGUUGCAGGGUAUAGACCCGAAACCCGGUGAUCUAGCCAUGGGCAGGUUGAAGGUUGGGUAACACUAACUGGAGGACCGAACCGACUAAUGUUGAAAAAUUAGCGGAUGACCUGUGGCUGGGGGUGAAAGGCCAAUCAAACCGGGAGAUAGCUGGUUCUCCCCGAAAGCUAUUUAGGUAGCGCCUCGUGAAUUCAUCUCCGGGGGUAGAGCACUGUUUCGGCCAGGGGGCCAUCCCGGCUUACCAAUCCGAUGCAAACUGCGAAUACCGGAGAAUGUUAUCACGGGAGACACACGGCGGGUGCUAACGUCCGUCGUGAAGAGGGAAACAACCCAGACCGCCAGCUAAGGUCCCAAAGUCAUGGUUAAGUGGGAAACGAUGUGGGAAGGCCCAGACAGCCAGGAUGUUGGCUUAGAAGCAGCCAUCAUUUAAAGAAAGCGUAAUAGCUCACUGGUCGAGUCGGCCUGCGCGGAAGAUGUAACGGGGCUAAACCAUGCACCGAAGCUGCGGCAGCGAACGUAUCACCCAAGACAACUUUACACAGUUGACGACUGACGGAGCGAAGCGACGUCAAAGCGUUUUACAACGUCGAGUUGGCUUAGGGAUACGUUCGUUGGGUAGGGGAGCGUUCUGUAAGCCGUUGAAGGUGUGUCGUGAGGCAUGCUGGAGGUAUCAGAAGUGCGAAUGCUGACAUAAGUAACGAUAAAGCGGGUGAAAAGCCCGCUCGCCGGAAGACCAAGGGUUCCUGUCCAACGUUAAUCGGGGCAGGGUGAGUCGACCCCUAAGGCGAGGCCGAAAGGCGUAGUCGAUGGGAAACGGGUUAAUAUUCCCGUACUUGGUGUUACUGCGAAGGGGGGACGGAGAAGGCUAUGUUGGCCGGGCGACGGUUGUCCCGGUUUAAGCGUGCAGGUGUGUGUUCCAGGUAAAUCCGGUUCACUUUAACACUGAGGCGUGAUGACGAGGCACCACGGUGCUGAAGCAACAAAUGCCCUGCUUCCAGGAAAAGCCUCUAAGCCUCAGGUAACAUCAAAUCGUACCCCAAACCGACACAGGUGGUCAGGUAGAGAAUACCAAGGCGCUUGAGAGAACUCGGGUGAAGGAACUAGGCAAAAUGGUGCCGUAACUUCGGGAGAAGGCACGCUGACACGUAGGUGAAGUGGUUUACCCAUGGAGCUGAAGUCAGUCGAAGAUACCAGCUGGCUGCAACUGUUUAUUAAAAACACAGCACUGUGCAAACACGAAAGUGGACGUAUACGGUGUGACGCCUGCCCGGUGCCGGAAGGUUAAUUGAUGGGGUCAGCGCAAGCGAAGCUCCUGAUCGAAGCCCCGGUAAACGGCGGCCGUAACUAUAACGGUCCUAAGGUAGCGAAAUUCCUUGUCGGGUAAGUUCCGACCUGCACGAAUGGCGUAAUGAUGGCCAGGCUGUCUCCACCCGGGACUCAGUGAAAUUGAACUCGCUGUGAAGAUGCAGUGUACCCGCGGCAAGACGGAAAGACCCCGUGAACCUUUACUAUAGCUUGACACUGAACACUGGUCCUUGAUGUGCAGGAUAGGUGGGAGGCUUUGAAGUGUGGACGCCAGUCUGCAUGGAGCCAUCCUUGAAAUACCACCCUUUAAUGGCUGGUGUUCUAACGUGGGCCCGUGAACCGGGUUGCGGACAGUGUCUGGUGGGUAGUUUGACUGGGGCGGUCUCCUCCUAAAGAGUAACGGAGGAGCACGAAGGUUGGCUAAUCCUGGUCGGACAUCAGGAGGUUAGUGCAAUGGCAUAAGCCAGCUUGACUGCGAGCGUGACGGCGCGAGCAGGUGCGAAAGCAGGUCAUAGUGAUCCGGUGGUUCUGAAUGGAAGGGCCAUCGCUCAACGGAUAAAAGGUACUCCGGGGAUAACAGGCUGAUACCGCCCAAGAGUUCAUAUCGACGGCGGUGUUUGGCACCUCGAUGUCGGCUCAUCACAUCCUGGGGCUGAAGUAGGUCCCAAGGGUAUGGCUGUUCGCCAUUUAAAGUGGUACGCGAGCUGGGUUUAGAACGUCGUGAGACAGUUCGGUCCCUAUCUGCCGUGGGCGCUGGAAGAUUGAGGGGGGCUGCUCCUAGUACGAGAGGACCGGAGUGGACGCAUCACUGGUGUUCGGGUUGUCAUGCCAAUGGCACUGCCCGGUAGCUACAUGCGGAAGAGAUAAGUGCUGAAAGCAUCUAAGCACGAAACUUGCCCCGAGAUGAAUCUUCCCUGAGCCUUUAAGGCUCCUGAAGGAACGUUGAAGACGACGACGUUGAUAGGCCGGGUGUGUAAGCGCAGCGAUGCGUUGAGCUAACCGGUACUAAUGAACCGUGAGGCUUAACCUUACAACGCCGAAG
rnacentral:rRNA from 2 species